rnacentral:misc_RNA from 1 species
CUCCAGAUGAAAUCAAAUUAAUAAAAUAAAAUCCAGAUCCAUGAGGAUUAAAAACUAACAUUUCUGACAUAAUAAAAGCAUUAAUGACACUUAAAUUUGAAAAGAUACAUAGAGAUAGAUUAAUGAUGGAAACUGAAACAAAAUACAAUAACUAGUAAAUAAAAAUCCAUUAUAAUUUGGAAGAGUUACGCCCAGCAGUGGUGUCAAAAACUUUAAGGAAGAAACGGGUCCUGGGGAUAGAUAACUUGUUCUCAAGAAUAGUGCCUAAAGUGGCAAUCAGAUCUCUCUUCACCUCUUUGUUAAUCCCACCCAUCGACACUAUCUCAGCAUAUGCAGCUGGUUCUUUGUUCCCAUUAAAAGAUAUGGCCACCGAUCCUUUCAGUAUCACCAUCACAAAAUGUUCAGGUUUUCCGAUGAUGGUAGCGACAGCCUUGGUGGCGUCGGAGAAGAUAGCUUCAGUAUCAACAUCGGCGAGAUUAACGUUAGUAGAGAUGUAAAGGCAAGGCAUCUUAUAGCUUUGCUGCUGUUGUGUGUCUUCUUCGUCUAGCCCUAGCUGCUUUUGUUAUAUAGAGGGAAAGAAAGUUUAGCAGGCGAAGCAAGGCUAUGGUGUUGGGG